rnacentral:lncRNA from 1 species
CGGGAAGACAUUCUGGCAGAGAAGCAAACGUGAGGAAAGAGUUUUGCUCUUGUUGCCCAGGCUGGAGUACAAUGGCGCAACCUCGGCUCACCACAACCUCCGCUUCCCAGGUUCAAGCGAUUCUCCUGCCUCAGCCUCCUGAGUCGCUGGGAUUACAGGAAUGUGCCACCAUGCCCGGCUAGUUUUGUAUUUUUAUUAGAGACUGGGUUUCUCCAUGUUGGUCAGGCUGGUCUCGAACUCCUGAUCUCAGGUGAUCCACCUGCCUCGGCCACCCAAAGUGCUGGGAUUACAGGCAUGAGCUACCAUGCCCAGAGAAUUCCAGGUAAUUCUCAUGGUGAAUGAAUUCCAUUCAUACUGUUGUUCUUCAGUCUGCCAAAUGGAUAUUACAUAACACAUUUGUGUGCCAUGAUGGGCCUUACAUAUAUUGACUCAUGUAAUUCUCACAACUUUAUGAGGUGGUAUUAGUCGCAUUUUCAUUUCAUGAAAUUGAGGCACAAAAAAAUUAGACAUGUUGAAGAUCAUACAUCAUCCCUCACCUGGGCUACAAUAGCCUCUUAACUAAUCUCUGCUUCUCCUCUUGUCCACACAACAGCCAGAGAACCUUUAAAUAUGUUAAGUAUGUCAAGCCUCUGCUCAAACUGAGUUUUUCCUGUCACACUUCAGUGUGGCCUAUAGGCCCUAAGUGAUGUAGCCUUUGCUUAUAUUGUCUUCCACUCUCAUCCUUGUUCACAGAGCUCUAGCAAUUCUCAUGUUUGGAGGUCCUCAAGGCAAAACUCAGCUUUAUUUCCCAUUCCCUUAGUAUGGAAAGCUAUUUCCCUAUCUGUGUGUCUUGCUUUUACAUCAUUGCUCUGCUCUCCUCAAAAACCUUCCCCUCUUAUCCCCAUCACCGUCCUCAUUUUGAUUCUUCAUAUACAUUUAUCCUUUCCUGAUUUUAUACUGUUUACCUUUUUAUGGUUUGUUUUCCCCUCUAAAACAUAAGUUCCAUCUGGACAAGGGCUUUGCUCAGUCCUAUUUUCCUAGGCCCUAGAAUCAAACCAGUAUUGGGUGAAUGGAUACUGAAUGAAGCUUUACCUAAGUGCUUUGUCUUUUACUUAGUUUCAGUGGUUAAAUCUCAGAAAGCUUAACAGCAAUUCUAAGCAUGUCUUUAUCAUAAAAGGUUAAAAACUGUAUUAUUGGGAUAUUUUUUCUCUUUUUAUGUUUACCUACAAGCCCGUAGAAAGUAUAAAUACUCAAAAGAUAGCAGACCAGGUAGGCUUAAGUUACUUUUACAAAACAGUAGAAAUACCUUCAAAUAUUUAGCACUGAUGAACUUACUACUGAGGACAUGUGGACUCUACUAAGAAACUAAUGAUGAAAUUCAUAAUUGGGUGUGGUAGCACAUGCACCCAGCUACUCGAGAGGCUGCAGCUUGAGUCCAGGAGUUCAAGGCUGCAGGGAGCCAUAAUCAUGCCACUGCACUCCAGCCUGGGAGACAGUGAGAACUUGGCUCUUAAAAAAAAAAAGGAAAAAAAAUUGAUAACGACAAUUUG